CACUAUUCACUAACAUUUAUACAAACUAUACACUAACAUAUACACACAAUAUUCACUAAAAUUUACACACACUACAUCCUUACACAAACAUACACUCUGCAGUCACUACACACACUACAUCCUUACACAAACACACACUCUGGAGUCACUACACAAACACACACACACACACACACACUCUGCAGUCACUACACACACUACAUCCUUACACAAACACACACUCUGCAGUCACU